AGUGAACGCUGGCGGUAGGCCUAACACAUGCAAGUCGAACGGCAGCACAGUAAGAGCUUGCUCUUACGGGUGGCGAGUGGCGGACGGGUGAGGAAUACAUCGGAAUCUACUUUUUCGUGGGGGAUAACGUAGGGAAACUUACGCUAAUACCGCAUACGACCUACGGGUGAAAGCAGGGGAUCUUCGGACCUUGCGCGAUUGAAUGAGCCGAUGUCGGAUUAGCUAGUUGGCGGGGUAAAGUCCCACCAAGGCGACGAUCCGUAGCUGGUCUGAGAGGAUGAUCAGCCACACUGGAACUGAGACACGGUCAAGACUCCUACGGGAGGAAGCAGUGGGGAAUAUUGGAAAAUGGGCGCAAGCCUGAUCCAGCAAUACCGCGUGGGUGAAGAAGGCCUUGGGGUUGUAAAGCCCUUUUGUUGGGAAAGAAAAGCAGCAGGUUAAUACCCCGCUGUUCUGACGGUACCCAAAGAAUAAGCACCGGCUAACUUCGU
rnacentral:rRNA from 1 species